rnacentral:rRNA from 1 species
UACGUAGGGUGCGAGCGUUAAUCGGAAUUACUGGGCGUAAAGCGUGCGCAGGCGGUCUGUUAAGACCGAUGUGAAAUCCCCGGGCUUAACCUGGGAACUGCGCUUGUUACUGGCAGGCUUGAGUGUGGCAGAGGGGGGGUGGAAUUCCACGUGUAGCAGUGAAAUGCGUAGAGAUGUGGAGGAACACCGAUGGCGAAGGCAGCCCCCUGGGCUAACACUGACGCCUCAUGCACGAAAGCGUGGGGAGCAAACA